rnacentral:rRNA from 1 species
UACAGAGGUCUCAAGCGUUGUUCGGAUUCAUUGGGCGUAAAGGGUGCGUAGGUGGCGCCGUAAGUCAGGUGUGAAAUUUCGGAGCUUAACUCCGAAACUGCAUUUGAUACUGCGGUGCUUGAGGACUGGAGAGGAGAGCUGAGUUAACUGGUGGUAGCAGUGAAAUGCGUAGAGAUCGUAAGGAAGACCAGUGGCGAAGGCGGGUCUCUGGACAGUUCCUGACACUGAGCACGAAGGCCAGGGGAGCAAACGGG